AAGAGUGCUGAUUCUACAGACCAGGAAGUGAUAAAUAAUGUGCUUUAAACUCAGUAGAACAUGUCUUUCAUAAGGAAAAGCCUCUCAUAACGAAAUGAGAAGAUUAAAGCAGUGAUUUCACAUAGUUGUCAUUAAGUAUUUGGGACUCUGAUGCAGAUAAAGACUGCAGAAUACUUAGGAUACAAAGCUUUCUGGGCCAGAAAUUGAUCUUCUGACUUUUGAGUCUUAUCUGAUUGCUACUUGGUUCAUCUUUAUUUUGUUAAAGUACUCUCUACAGGCUGAACCUGGGAGACCCUCCAUUGUUUGCAGAGCUUGACCAGACAGGAAUUCUGGCAGCUGCUCCAGCAGAACUAUGGCAGUGAGCUAGGCUUAAAUGCUGAAGAGAUGGAAAACUUGUCUCUGUCCAUCGAGGAUAAUGUGCAGCCAAGAAGUCCAGGAAGAAGUAGCUUGGAUGACUGUGGGGAGAGAGAUGAAAAAUUUUCCAAGUCCAUCAGUUUUACCCGAGAAUCAGUUAAUCCGGUUUCAGAAGCAGAGUCAAUUGAUGGAAAUCCAC